UAGGGGAGGUCCCGGUUGCGUAAAGAGAUUUUAUUGGACGACACAGUGUCGGUAAUGAAAAUGAACGAAUGGGCUGCUCACACUUCGGAGGCCCUUGAACUGAUCCAUCGCAAUUCCCGGUGUGCCAAAUUACCACUCCAGCCCUGGUAACAAAACCGAAGGAGCUCCUCAGACUCACACACCAGACAAACACAAUGUGCAAGUACAGCUUGUCUGUCCGCUCACCUGCAGGUGAGGUCGGGAUUAUCAAAUUAAAUCACUCCAAAAAGCAGCAGAAGACCGUGAAAGACUUGAAGAUCAAAGCAGCGCAACUGUUUCCAAAGAAAGGAUAUCUUAUGCUGAAUUCCGGCUGAUUGUCUCUGGAAAGCCGCUGGACGAUGACUCUGCAUCUCUGUCUGAAUAUGGGAUCAAACCCUCGUCUGUGGUGCAGAUGGUGACGAAGGUCCACGGAGGCUGACAAAUAUCAUCAUCGAUGCACUCGACUCCAUCCAAAAGAUUCACCUCAGGACUGAAAUGUGAUACACCAAAGGACUCGAUGCAUCAUCUUUGCUAGCUGCGACUGAACUGUGUCAUCUUUGAUCUUCUCUUCUACACUUUUGGGUCUUCCUUUAGAUUUUAA